rnacentral:rRNA from 1 species
GACGAACGCUGGCGGCGUGCUUAACACAUGCAAGUCGAACGAAAAUACCAAGCUUGCUUGGUUUAUUGUGGUGAACGGGUGAGUAAUACGUGAGUAAUCUCCUCCUUUCUUCUUGGGUAUCUGUUCGCAAGGGUAGAUAUUAUGGGAUAUUUUGUCCCGCCCGCAUGGGUUGGUUUGGGAAGGUUGUUUUUUUGGUUAGUGAUGGGCUCGCGGGCCAUCAGCUUGUUGGUGGGGUGAUUGCCCACCGAGGUUUUGACGGGUAGCCGGCGUGAGGGGGUGGACGGUCACACGGGGACUGGGAUACGGCCCAGACUGCUACGGGAGGCAGCAGUGGGGGAUAUUGCAGAAUGGACGCAAGCCUGAUGCAGCGACGCCGCGUGAAGGAUGAAGGCGUUCGGGAUGUAAACCUCUUGCGUCAGAAAACAAGGCACUGGUUUUUUGGUGGUGUUGAGGGUACCUGGAUAAGAAGCGCCGGCUAACUACGUG